rnacentral:rRNA from 1 species
GACGAACGCUGGCGGCGUGCUUAACACAUGCAAGUCGAACGGAAAGGCCCUGCUUUUGUGGGGUGCUCGAGUGGCGAACGGGUGAGUAACACGUGAGUAACCUGCCCUUGACUUUGGGAUAACUUCAGGAAACUGGGGCUAAUACCGGAUAGGAGCUCCUGCUGCAUGGUGGGGGUUGGAAAGUUUCGGCGGUUGGGGAUGGACUCGCGGCUUAUCAGCUUGUUGGUGGGGUAGUGGCUUACCAAGGCUUUGACGGGUAGCCGGCCUGAGAGGGUGACCGGCCACAUUGGGACUGAGAUACGGCCCAGACUCCUACGGGAGGCAGCAGUGGGGAAUAUUGCACAAUGGGCGGAAGCCUGAUGCAGCAACGCCGCGUGCGGGAUGACGGCCUUCGGGUUGUAAACCGCUUUCGCCUGUGACGAAGCGUGAGUGACGGUAAUGGGUAAAGAAGCACCGGCUAACUACGUGCCAGCAGCCGCGGUGAUACGUAGGGUGCGAGCGUUGUCCGGAUUUAUUGGGCGUAAAGGGCUCGUAGGUGGUUGAUCGCGUCGGAAGUGUAAUCUUGGGGCUUAACCCUGAGCGUGCUUUCGAUACGGGUUGACUUGAGGAAGGUAGGGGAGAAUGGAAUUCCUGGUGGAGCGGUGGAAUGCGCAGAUAUCAGGAGGAACACCAGUGGCGAAGGCGGUUCUCUGGGCCUUUCCUGACGCUGAGGAGCGAAAGCGUGGGGAGCGAACAGGCUUAGAUACCCUGAUAGUCCACGCUGUAAACGGUGGGUACUAGGUGUGGGGUCCAUUCCACGGGUUCCGUGCCGUAGCUAACGCUUUAAGUACCCCGCCUGGGGAGUACGGCCGCAAGGCUAAAACUCAAAGGAAUUGACGGGGCCCCGCACAAGCGGCGGAGCAUGCGGAUUAAUUCGAUGCAACGCGUAGAACCUUACCUGGGUUUGACAUGGAUCGGGAGUGCUCAGAGAUGGGUGUGCCUCUUUUGGGGUCGGUUCACAGGCGGUGCAUGGCUGUCGUCAGCUCGUGUCGUGAGAUGUUGGGUUAAGUCCCGCAACGAGCGCAACCCUUGUUCACUGUUGCCAGCACGUUAUGGUGGGGACUCAGUGGAGACCGCCGGGGUCAACUCGGAGGAAGGUGGGGAUGACGUCAAGUCAUCAUGCCCCUUAUGUCCAGGGCUUCACGCAUGCUACAAUGGCUGGUACAGAGAGUGGCGAGCCUGUGAGGGUGAGCGAAUCUCGGAAAGCCGGUCUCAGUUCGGAUUGGGGUCUGCAACUCGACCUCAUGAAGUCGGAGUCGCUAGUAAUCGCAGAUCAGCAACGCUGCGGUGAAUACGUUCCCGGG